AGUCCGCAAAGGAGGAGGAAGGGGAUUCCGUUCGCCGCCAAGGCGUACUGGGUAUGCUCCUCGAGUCCCCGCUCUUCAGGCCCCUCCUCACCUCCCUCAUCAAGAAGCAGAACAACAUGACGCACAUGCUGUAGCGCACAGGGAUCCCCGACCGGCCCAUGUUCUUCCCGGAGUACCCUCUCUCUGUACAAGCAAAAGCAGCUAUGAGAAACUUUUCAUUCAGUCAAGUUCUACUGAUUUUUGGUCUUCUUGAAUUUUGUAUAGUUGAGAUAGAUGUUCUACUUCUUUCAUUCAGUCAGGCUCUACUGAAACAUUUUGCAGAAACAAUGUACUGCUGAAACUGAAAAAAGGAACAGAAACAUAAAUGUUCUGCUGAAACUGAAAAAAGGAACAGAACCACACCUGAAUAA